GGAGGGAUGGCAGAGCGGCUGAAUGCACCGGUCUUGAAAACCGACAAGGGCUAACACCCUUCCAGGGUUCGAAUCCCUGUCCCUCCACCA
rnacentral:tRNA from 1 species